GAAGGACCCUAACUUUGAAGAUCCGAAUGAGCCGGUGGCGGUUUGAGUACGAUCGGCGAUGGCGUAUUAGGUCAUUUCGAGUCUGAGAUUUGUAAAUAGUCGUCUUGGUGGACGGUAAUCCGUGGUUUUCCAUUUCAAUAAAAUCACGCAUCCUUUGUACAGCUUCUUGACAUUUCUUAAUUUCAAUGUCGAUCUUUGUUUCUUUUGUGUUGGAUCGUGCUUGAGGGAUGAAGAAAAAUGAAAAACAGAGGGA
rnacentral:misc_RNA from 1 species